CAGAGAAGGGAAAUGUUCUCUUCCUUAAUCCCUACACAAGGCCGUAACGCAGGUCCUGCUCCCUGUGGCCAGGUAAGCAAACAGAGGCAUGGAGAAGCACCAGAAACCUAGGGCUUAAGCUCCUUUAAAGGGUUUUCAAGCCAGGCAGGUGAGCCAGAGGCAUCCAAAGUCAGCAGUGAGGACAGAGUGGAGCACAGCACCCUGUCUGCAGCCACAAGGCACCGCCGAUGGACGAAGGUGUGGGUCAGCAGCACUGGGGAUGCUGGUGCUGAGCUCUGGUGCAGAGCAAUGCAUUCCCACCAAGCUGCGAGCUGCAACGCCUUGGCAGGACAGCCGUGCUAAAUUUAGGAGGCUGGUCCCUCCUUUCUGUGCUACAGCAUCACGUCCAGGCUCUUCAGGGCUGCACUAAAGCAAAACAACAGCGAAGAGCAGAGUGCCAGGGCUGGCCUCAUAUCUCAUCUUCAAGUCUCAUCCAGGCAGCAAGGAGAGCCCAUCUCAGACACCAGGUAAAGCCCAUCUCAGACAUGUAGUAAAGCCCACCUUCCUCCACAGCCACGCACAUCCAGCAGCACAAGCAACUUCUGGAAGACAGACUCGUAUCACUGUGCAUCUUCCCAAUUAAACAAAAUGUUUGGGAAUUUUCCAGAAGGUUUUCCAUUCUUCCCCUUCCAUC